GCACUUAGCUCAGUGGGUAGAGCAUCCACUUUGCUUGCAGAAGGUCCCAGCUUCAAUCCCUGGCUUCUCCA